CAUGCAAGUCGAACGAGAAUCUACUGAAAGAGUUUUCGGACAAUGGAUGUAGAGGAAAGUGGCGGACGGGUGAGUAACGCGUGAGGAACCUGCCUUGAAGAGGGGGACAACAGUUGGAAACGACUGCUAAUACCGCAUGACGCAUAGAGGUCGCAUGAUCUUUAUGCCAAAGAUUUAUCGCUUCAAGAUGGCCUCGCGUCUGAUUAGCUAGUUGGCGGGGUAACGGCCCACCAAGGCGACGAUCAGUAGCCGGACUGAGAGGUUGAACGGCCACAUUGGGACUGAGAUACGGCCCAGACCCCUACGGGAGGCAGCAGUGGGGAAUAUUGGGCAAUGGGCGCAAGCCUGACCCAGCAACGCCGCGUGAAGGAAGAAGGCUUUCGGGUUGUAAACUUCUUUUAAGAGGGAAGAGCAGAAGACGGUACCUCUAGAAUAAGCCACGGCUAACUACGUGCCAGCAGCCGCGGUAAUACGUAGGUGGCAAGCGUUGUCCGGAUUUACUGGGUGUAAAGGGCGUGCAGCCGGGUCUGCAAGUCAGAUGUGAAAUCCAUGGGCUCAACCCAUGAACUGCAUUUGAAACUGUAGAUCUUGAGUGUCGGAGGGGCAAUCGGAAUUCCUAGUGUAGCGGUGAAAUGCGUAGAUAUUAGGAGGAACACCAGUGGCGAAGGCGGAUUGCUGGACGAUAACUGACGGUGAGGCGCGAAAGUGUGGGGAGCAAACAGGAUUAGAUACCCUGG
rnacentral:rRNA from 1 species